UACGUAGGUGGCGAGCGUUGUCCGGAUUUACUGGCCGUAAAGGGAGCGUAGGCGGACUUUUAAGUGAGAUGUGAAAUACCCGGGCUCAACUUGGGUGCUGCAUUUCAAACUGGAAGUCUAGAGUGCAGGAGAGGAGAAUGGAAUUCCUAGUGUAGCGGUGAAAUGCGUAGAGAUUAGGAAGAACACCAGUGGCGAAGGCGAUUCUCUGGACUGUAACUGACACUGAGGCUCGAAAGCGUGGGGAGCAAACAGGAUUAGAUACACG
rnacentral:rRNA from 1 species